ensembl:lncRNA
GAGCAAAGCAGGGAGGUACAAGUGGCUGCAUCUGUAGCAAGGCUGGGCUCAGCUGAAGGAAAGGAAAAGGAAAAAAAGAAGUGAAAUGGGGAAAAAAAAAAAAAAAAAAAAAAAAAAAGGAGUGCUCUGCCAAUUGCUAAUUAGCUCCUGCUUGUAGGGAAGCUGGAGGUAGGAAGGCAGCACUGAGCUGACGGGCUGAGCAACACGGUGCUACAGCACUCCAGCAGCCAGCCGGGCACUGCCAUUCCCAGGAAAGAACUGAGGCCCAGGAGACUACCUCUGGGCUCACAAUACCUUGCUGGAACCACUGCAGGCAGGAAGAGGAUUCAGCCUGAGCAAAGCUGAGCAAAAGUUGGACCUGGUCUGGUUGAGCUCAUGAAAGCAAACAUGUUUGGACAACAAUCUCGGAGAUGUGACCACGUCUAGAAUUUCGCUGUUUCAGCAGAUGCUCCUUACUACUGGAUGCCAGUAAAAAACCCAAGCCCAGAGCACAGUGCUGUCUAAAAAAUGAAAGAGAAGACCAUGUGAUCUCAUGAAGGAAAAGGAGAAAAGUGAAAAAGUGCUUGGCAGCCCCAACACCUCUCUCCGUUGUGGCUCUGGCAGAACAGCCUCUGGACAGGAGAAAGCACAUUUCUGCUGCAGUGCCCGGGGACAUGAAGGGUCCCCCACAGCCAUCAGGACACCCUGGGGACAUAUGUUGCAUGGAAAGGAUGAAGCUCAGUGCUGAGUGUAAACCACGCAGCCUAUGCCUUGUAGGAAGCGGUCGUGUAGGGAAAAUUGCAUCAUCAAACAAUUAGAGACUGUAUCUCAAGCCAUGUGCAGAGGGGGUCAGACUGAGGUUGCCGAGUGAUCUGAAUUUGGUGAUUUUCCGCACUGGUUUAAAGCCCCCUCUCCAGCAGAAAUCAGCCAUGUCACGGGGCUGCGAGAAGGGCGACUGAUAAGAGCGAUCUCUCUCAUCCCUCACACGAGCACGAAGCCCCCACCGGGUGCAGAGCGCUCCCCUGGGCCGCCCGGGCCCCACCGCUGCUCCCGCGAAGCCACCUCCGAGGGCACCCGCCUCGCUGCCCGCGCGAACCCGGUGUGGGCCGGGGCAGGUGACCCGUGGAGAGCGGCGGCGCCCGGCGGUGCCCGCAGGGGUCG